rnacentral:rRNA from 1 species
GGCGAGAUCGAGGAGACGGCACGGGGAGCUCUGGUCAACGCAUCGGGUGGGAGAAAAGACGACUGGUGAGGAAACUUCGCUUCGUGUCCCCUCCGGGACACGUGGCAACCGUAGGACGCGGUUUAUGUCCAUGAUGUGAUCAUUCGGUUGAUUUUAAGGGAUUUCCUUUUGUUUUCCUUCAAUCAAAACGAAAAAAAAGCUAGUGGUUUGUUCUCAAAUCUGGUGUAUUUGUCCGUUUGGAGAGUUACAGUCCAAAGUACACUAUGCUUUUUUACUACUAUUAGUAGGUAGGGAUUCUGUAGAACUUUUAAGUAGAGAUAUAAUUUCCUUGUAGAAAUAAUUCGAAUCCUCUGGAUUCGAGGAUUCGUAGAUGGGUUCAUACACCCAUGGCUAUGAGUUGAGAUAGUAAUUGCCAAGGCCAAAGGCAAUUCAGAUCGGCUGCAGGAUGGAGGCCGCGCACGGGAACUGGGUUGCCCUGCCCAGUGAUCUUCUGAGCUGCGUGGGCGCGCUCCUCAUCGUGCCUGGUUGCAUAUGCUUCCGCGCCGUGUGCCGCAGAUGGAGGGAAGCCAUCCCGGAAGAGCAAGCCGUCGCAAUGCCGGCGCCGUGGGUGAUCAUACCCCGCGUCGACGGCUGCAGCGACUCCUUCAUUGUCCUCUCCGCGCCCACCAUGAAUUGCUUCCGGUGGACGCCCCCGGGCGGUGCGCGCGCCCGCUGCGUCGGCUCCAACGGCAGCUGGCUCGCCAUCGUCACCAUCAUGGACGUCUGAAACCUCGCCAUCUCGCUGGUCAACCCGCUCACGGACGCGCGCGUUGAGCUUCCGCUCGUAACCGGCUGGCGAUGGGCGUUGGAUACCGAGCAUGAUCUCGAGUUUGAGCUGGACGUCGUCGUCCGGAAGGUGACCACCGACCGCUGGCUUCGGCUUCCCGAGCUUGUCGGCGGUGACCACGAGGGCAUCAGGCGGGAGAUGGACGUGGCGUAUCACCAAGGCAAGUUCUACUACAUGGCCACAAGCGGCCAGGUGUGGGUGGUCGACAUGGCCGUGCCGUCCCCCUCUCCCGUGCCACUCGACGUGUUGGAGCCCCCCUUCAACGGCAUGGUCAUGUGCCGCGGCUACCACCUGGCUUUCUCCGGCGACGGCGCGCUGCACGUGGUGUGGAGCCGGAGCGCGGGCGACGGAUACCCGUGGAGUUGCAACCUCCGGGACAUGGCCGUGAUGCGCUUCGACCCUGAAGCAUCUGGCGAGGAGCAGUGGACGCCGGCGAGGAGCAUCGUCGGCCGCGCGCGUUCCUCAUCGGCGAUCGCAACCAGUCCAUAUCGGUCCCCGUGGACAGCAAUGUUAGCCCAAAAUUACGGACUAGCUAGUUCUCCGAGGAUCAACCAAAGAUGCACGAUCAGCUAGGUGUUGCUGCACAAAUAUUCUACAAACGCACACACCUAUACUUGAACUAGAGUGCUACUCCCUCUGUAAACUAAUAUAAGAGCGUUUAGAUCACUAUAGUGAUCUAAACGCUCUUAUAUUAGUUUAUAGAGAGUGAUCUAAACGCUCUUAUAUUAGUUUACAGAGGGAGUACUAGUGAGGAGGCUGGUUGUAGUGGCAAUACUACUACACUUCCGAUUGCUACUUGCUUU